rnacentral:rRNA from 1 species
UAGGGAAUCUUCCGCAAUGGACGAAAGUCUGACGGAGCAACGCCGCGUGAGUGAUGAAGGUUUUCGGAUCGUAAAACUCUGUUGUCAGGGAAGAACAAGUACCGGAGUAACUGCCGGUACCUUGACGGUACCUGACCAGAAAGCCACGGCUAACUACGUGC